GUCGGGAGACUGACCCAGCCAAGCCGCGUGAGGGAUGAAGGUACAGAGUAUCGUAAACCUCUUUUGUCAGGGAACAAAGGCGGGGACGUGUCCCCGGAUGAGUGUACCUGAAGAAAAAGCAUCGGCUAACUCCGUGCCAGCAGCCGCGGUAAUACGGAGGAUGCGAGCGUUAUCCGGAUUUAUUGGGUUUAAAGGGUGCGCAGGCGGUCUGUUAAGUCAGCGGUCAAAGCCCGGGGCUCAACCCCGGCCCGCCGUUGAAACUGGCAGUCUCGAGUUGGAGAGAAGUAUGCGGAAUGCGCGGUGUAGCGGUGAAAUGCAUAGAUAUCGCGCAGAACUCCGAUUGCGAAGGCAGCAUGCCGGCUCCACACUGACGCUGAGGCACGAAAGCGUGGGUAUCGAACAGGAUUAGAUACCCUGGUAGUCCACGCAGUAAACGAUGAAUGCUGGCUGUCCGGGGGGAUUGACCCCUGG
rnacentral:rRNA from 1 species